rnacentral:rRNA from 1 species
UACGUAGGUGGCAAGCGUUAUCCGGAUUUAUUGGGCGUAAAGGGAACGCAGGCGGUCUUUUAAGUCUGAUGUGAAAGCCUUCGGCUUAACCGGAGUAGUGCAUUGGAAACUGGGAGACUUGAGUGCAGAAGAGGAGAGUGGAACUCCAUGUGUAGCGGUGAAAUGCGUAGAUAUAUGGAAGAACACCAGUGGCGAAAGCGGCUCCCUGGCCUGUAACUGACACUGAGGCUCGAAAGCGUGGGGAGCAAACAGG